CUGCCCAUAGCUCAGUUGGAUAGAGCAUCAGCCUUCUAAGCUGAGGGUCGCUGGUUCGAUUCCAGCUGGGCAGGCCA
rnacentral:tRNA from 2 species